CCCACACCUUCUGUCUGGCUUUGGCGGAAUCUGUGCACAAACCUAGAAACCAAGAAAUGAGUGAAUGGAUAGACUGGAGGAAUGGAGGGAUGGGCACGUGCAGCCGAGCGUUUCCUAACUGGGGAGAAGGCUCUGGGCCUGGGUGUAUGAACGCGCGUUAGCACACGGGUGGGCGUGUCGGCUUGUGUGCAGGGGAUCGUGUGUGUUGGUGUAUACAUACGUGCAUAUGAGUGUACAGGAAAGUGUGUGGGUGCGUGUGAGCCCGCACAUCGCCACAACUGCUGAGUUCCCAUACGAGGGGUCGAGCUCCUCGUCUCUUACCCAGCACCACGACUAUGUCCGGGUAAGCGGAACCGCUGGGAGCGGUUGGGAGCUUAGAGAAGAAUAGAAGCUGAAAAAAAAAAAAAAAAAAAAGACCCACGAGUGACACAGAGAGCUGAUCUGAAAACCCAAAGAAGGGGCCAUGACUGGUCCAUCAUAAAAAAAGAAUUUGCCAUUUCCUCCUCCUUCUAGCAAAGAGAAAGACCAACCAGCAUCAGGGUGGGUUCUGUUGUUAAAUUCUCCACCACACAGAGGUGAAAGAAACAUGGAUGAACCUCAAGAAAGAAGCCGACAUAAAAGACCGGACGUUGUAUGAUUCCAUUUACAUGAAAUACACAGAACAGGCAAAUCUGUAGAGAAAGAACUCGCUUAGGACUGGAGGCGAAAUGAAGCCUGAUAGGACAUAAGAAGGAUCUUAGGGGAGUGAUGAAAAUAUUACAAAACUGGAUUAUGGUGCUGGUUGGGAAAUUUACUAGAAAUUAUUGCAUACUUAAAUGUGUGAACUUUAUGGCAUGUAAAUUAUGUACUUCAGUUAAGCUUUUUUUUUAAAAAAGGAAUGCUGAAAAAAUGAACUGUGACUCAGAGGUUCUAACAGGUAAAAAAACAAAUGAAACACUGAGGAAAGUAGCAUAAGAACAGACAACUAGGAAUUCCUGUUGUGCCUCAAUGGGUAAGGAUCGGACUUGUCUCUGAGGAUGAAUGUUUGAUCCCCGAUCCCUGGCCUCACUCAGAGGGUUAAGGAUCCAG